GUGAUGAGUCGUAAAAUUUCGGCUUGCAGUUUUCCUUUACAAAUGGAUAAAUUUUGUAGAUACACUUUAAAGGAUGAGCUAAUUUUCAAUUCAUAUCACAUGUGCCCUAUCAACGCUAAUCAGUUUUACGACGCUACUAAGAAAUAUAUCUAAAACGAGGUGCACCCAUCCUUUAGGAACUCACUGCAGCAUUCAUUUUAAAAAUCCCAUUUUAAAAACGGUAGAUGAAACAUCGAAAAGUACGACCAUAUUUUUUCUAAC
rnacentral:misc_RNA from 1 species